ensembl:lncRNA
AUGGACCCAGCGACACCAAAGCCUAUCCAGUCUGCUGUCGAGUUCCAGGGAGCGAUAUUAGGCAGACAUGAGGAGGAGUUGUCUGCCGCUCGACAUGCCGUGGAGACCCUGGCUGCCCAAGUCUCCGAUCUCUCAAGACCGUUACAACAUCUUCGCCUCGAUCCACCUGUCGCCUCCAGGGCUCCUGAAUCUCCCGAACCCCGUAUAAAUAGCCCACCGUGCUACGCUGGUGAGCCCACCGAAUACUGCUUGUUUCUCACUCAGUGUGAUGUUGUUUUUUCUCUCCAGCCCACCACUUAUUCCGAGAACAGAGCUCGCAUUGCCUACAUUAUAUCACUCCUCACUGGACGGGCCCGGGAGUGGGGAACGGCAGUCUGGGGGGCGGAGGCUGCGUGUACUAACCAGUAUCAGGACUUUAGGGAGGAGAUGAUACAGUUUUGCCUGAGGCCGAGAGAGAACCAUCCAUCCCUGUCUGCCCACUACCCGCGUCCACUUUGAGAGACCUGCGGUCGGUCGCCGCUAUCACUACAGACCCAGACUGCUGCCAAAGGGGCCUUUUCAAGUCACAUGCUGUCAUUUCUGUUUUGUUUUCGAUCACCCUCUCUGCAGUUUGCUAAGUUGCCUUUUUCUCUCAGAAGAACAUUUGAGUUUUACAUUGUUGAUUACCAGAGUUUACAUUAAAGACUCUAUUUUUGUUCAAUCGCAUUUGGGUCCUCUCUUACCUUGUUAACACAAAUGCUGAAACUGAUGUUUAAAAUAGUUUUAGAUAUAGCCACAUGGGUUUAAAUGCUUAUUUUGUGCAACAAAUAAUAACUAACGUAAUAACUAAAUUUCCAAUGUGCACAAGCCAAUAUAUUAAAAAAAUUUAAUGAAAUGUUUAAAAAAAGAAGAAAUGUAUAAAUAAAAUAUGAAUAUGAAAAAUAUGAAUGUUGAUUUGAUCCUGUCCAUUUCUGUUUUUUUUGUCUCACAAUUCUUAAAAUGCUUCAUCAUGUUGAUCUUAAUACCCUUAAUGUGAUAAUACAGUGGUAUUCCUUAUCCAGUAUUCAGCCAAGCCUGUGCCAAGCAUUAACUAUGAUAUGAGUUGGUCCACCAGUCAACAAACUUCAGAACAUCUUGAAAACCUUCCAGGACUGCGAAGGUCUUAAACUGGCAUUGUUUCGCCACUUACAAGGUGGCAGGACAAAGCAUUUCCCACAAUAUCUUAUCCUCCUGGUCUCAAAGUAUGAUAUAUCAGUAUAACCUACCCAGUAUGUUAUUGUACCAGUGUCUUUCUGUCAUCAUUUACUCACCUUCAUGUCUGUCACAUCUAAACUCUCCCUCACAACACCCCCCUCGCUCAACUCACCAGCUUAUUAAUCACAUGCACCUGUUCAUCAUUAUGGACUCAUCAUGGACUGUUUAACCAAGCACCGCUUCCCUCAGUUGUUGUCUGGUCUCGUCUUUGGACUAUAUUUUGUUACUUACAAAGUACUACUUACUUCCUGUUACCUACCUCGACAUCCUUGGUGUCAAGAGAAAUCUUCAAGUGGGGCCCAGGAUUUUUCCACAACUGUUUACCUUAGUGCACACAACCAAAGACGGUCCAUAUGCCAUAGCUGUCCCCCAAAAACAAUAUCAUCAUCAACAUCACAACCAUUGAGUCCCAUCACUGAGUGUUUUUCGAAUGUCACUGCUAAGUACAUAGUGACCCAGCUUAGCUCCAUCCUUUUCUUCUUGAAUCUAUGCUUGGCAGAGCAGAACUAUGAUGUGGUCAGUCGGGAGCUGCUCUUCAUCAAGCUGGCAUUAGAGGAGUGGCAUCACUGACUCAAGGGUUUCCGCCAUCCUGUCCAAGUUCUCACGACCACCACAACCUUGAAUACCUUUAAGAUGCCAGGUGGUUGAACUCUCAACAAUACUGGUGGGCCCUAUUAUUUGCACACUUCGAGUUCACCAUCUCCGGCUCCAGAAUAUGAAAGAGGACACUCUGUCUCAGCAAAAUGCUCCCAAUGAUGCCAGUGAUGCUUCUGAACCCAUCCUUCCUCCGUUUUGUAUUGUUAGCCCAAUUCAAUAGACCAUAUAUGAGCAGUCUUUGUAGGGAGAUCAUUGAAUCUGUCCACUCCUCCUGGCACUGGCCACCACGGUAUUCAUCAAACCCUCUCGCUCUUACAAGGACACUAUUGGUGGCCUCACAAGUCCCAAGGAAGUCUGUCAAUUUAUCCAAGGUUGUUCUCUCAAAACCUCCACACCUCCUGCUGUUCCUUCCACAUCGCCCAUGGUCACUGCUAUGAGUGGACUUCAUUACUUGGCUUCUCAUGGCUUCACAUGCAUCCUAGUCAUCCUAGUCCUUGACAGAAAUUUCAAACAACCUCAGCUUUCCAAAGACACUGUAUCAGACAGAGGUCCCUAAUUUAUCUCAUCUGGCGUGCUUCUCUCUCCAGGGUGUGACCAUAAGCCUCUUGUCUGGUUACACUCCACAGACUAACAGGCAGAUGGAGAGGAAGAUCCAGGAAAUUUGAAACUUCUAGAGAACAUAUUACCAAUAUUACUUUGCCAAGCUACCACCAGCCUAACUCCGGUGUGUACCGGGCUUAGUCUAUUCCCAUCUCUGACAAUGUCGUUCCAAACCCCAUAAGACUUUCUUUUCUUAAGGUUUUUUUGCCUUUAAAGCACAUUUGGGGUUCUGUUUACCAUAUUUGAUUAGCUCUAUGUGAGUUGAUGAGUGUUUAUAUCUGAAUAAAAGCCUAAAUUAAAGGUGCUGUAUGUAGGAUUGACACUGAGUGGUUGAACUAGGUAUUCCAGUCCAAAUUAAAAUUAUUGGAGAGGGUUUAUUUCACCUGGCCCCUCCUCCUCAGACUUGACGCACAUGCAGGUUGCCAGAUUGACGACACCAACAUGAACAAGCGCACUUGACGAUGAAUGAAAUGAAAUACGUGGUGUUUUCCGCCAGCUGGCAACCCGGGGUGCUGAAAUACAGUUGGGUAAACUGGCAGUGGGUGGGUUUCACAAACCAAAACAAACACCGGCAUUCUGGCCCAGAAUGCACAUUUUCAAAUGAGAAUAACUGACUGUAGCAUUGUAUUUCAGAUAAACAAGUAUGUUAACU